GAUGAAAGCUAGCUACAGGCUUAACACAUGCAAGUCGAGGGACCGGCGCACGGAUGAGUAACCCGUAUCCAACAUACCCUUAACUCGGGGAUAGCCUUUCGAAAGAAAGAUUAAUCCCAGAUGUAAAGGAUGGGGAUGCGUUCCAUUCGGUUGUUGGGGAGGUAACGGCUCACCAAGCCUUCGAUGGAUAGGGGUUCUGAGAGGAAGGUCCCUCCCAUGGGAACUGAGACACGAUCCAAACUCAUACGGGAGGCAGAAUUGAGGAAUAUUGGUCAAUGGGCGGUAGCCUGAACCAGCCAAGUAGCGUGAAGGAUGAAGGCUUAUGGGUCGUAAACUUCUGUUAUAUAAGAAUAUGUAUUAUAUGGAUAAGGAUCGGCGAACUCCGUGCCAGCAGCGGCGGUAAUUC
rnacentral:rRNA from 1 species